rnacentral:rRNA from 1 species
CCUCGGACACCAGGAUAGUCCGCCGAAAGGCGGGUUAAUACUGGGUGAUGUCCCGGUCUGGAUGGAUCGGGAUCAUAGGAUGGGGACCCUUCGGGGCCUGUCGGUCUGAGAGCGGCCUGUUUCCUAUCAGCUGGUUGGUGAGGUAAUGGCUCACCAAGGCGAUGACGGGUAGCCGGCCUUAGCGGGUGUCCGGCCUCACUGGGACUGAGACACUGCCCAGAGCCCUACGGGGUGCAGCAGUCUCGAAUCAUCCGCAAUGCGCGAAAGCGUGACGGUGCGACGCCGCGUGCGGGAGGAAGCCCUUCGGGGUGUAAACCGCUUUUCAGGGGUAUGAAGUCCAGCGGGUGAACAGCCCGUUGGAUUGACGUCAACCCUGGAAUAAGCCACGGCUAACUUCGUGCCAGCAGCCGCGGUAAGACGAAGGUGGCAAGCGUUGCUCGGAAUUACUGGGCUUAAAGCGGGCGUAGGCGGCCCGGUCAGUCGGGUGUGAAAACCCUUGGCUCAACCAAGGAACGGCGCCCGAUACUACCGGGCUUGAGGCGCUGAGGGGCGACUGGAACUCUCGGUGGAGCGGUGAAAUGCGUAGAUAUCGAGAGGAACGCCAAUGGUGAAGACAGGUCGCUGGUGGCGUCCUGACGCUGAGGCCCGAAAGCCAGGGGAGCAAACGGGAUUAGAUACCCCGGUAGUCCUGGCCCUAAACGAUGCACACUAGGUGGGGGAGGCUCUGACAGCCAUCCCUGCCGCAGGGAAACCGGUAAGU